rnacentral:rRNA from 1 species
ACUCCUACGGGAGGCAGCAGUGGGGAAUAUUGGACAAUGGGCGCAAGCCUGAUCCAGCCAUGCCGCGUGAGUGAUGAAGGCCCUAGGGUUGUAAAGCUCUUUCACCGGUGAAGAUAAUGACGGUAACCGGAGAAGAAGCCCCGGCUAACUUCGUGCCAGCAGCCGCGGUAAUACGAAGGGGGCUAGCGUUGUUCGGAUUUACUGGGCGUAAAGCGCACGUAGGCGGACUAUUAAGUCAGGGGUGAAAUCCCGGGGCUCAACCCCGGAACUGCCUUUGAUACUGGUAGUCUUGAGUUCGAGAGAGGUGAGUGGAAUUCCGAGUGUAGAGGUGAAAUUCGUAGAUAUUCGGAGGAACACCAGUGGCGAAGGCGGCUCACUGGCUCGAUACUGACGCUGAGGUGCGAAAGCGUGGGGAGCAAACAGGAUUAGAACCCCUGUAGUCCCAUGA